rnacentral:misc_RNA from 1 species
GGAAGGAUCAUUAGAAAUACGAGAUUUGGAAGAGUCUGAGUGAUUGGACUCUCUCAAUACGUUUACGCUUGCAUAGUUUGACUGUUUGAAUGGAGAAAAUUGACAACUGUGAACAAUGGAUCUCUGGGCUCUUGCAACGAUGAAGAACGCAGCAAAAUGCGAAACGUAGUGCGAUUUGCAUGAAUCUGUGAGUCAUUGAAUCUUUGAACGCAACUUGCGCCAUUUAUGGCAUGUUCCCUUGAGUCGGUGUAACAAACUAAGACACAAUACAUGCAAGUGUAUUGAGUCUUGUGUUGGGGCAUACAAGCUUCUGUUUGUCGCCCUGAAAUGUCUGUCAUCCGCAGAGGAUUUGAGCUAUAAAGCCUUGGCUUUAAUUUCAUCUCCGAACGCGACAUCACAAUCCGCUCAAGUGGAACAGGAUCACCCGCUGGACUUAAGCAUAUCAGUAAGCGGAGGAAAAGAAACUAACAAGGAUUCCCCUAGUAACGGCGAGUGAAGCGGGAACAGCUCGAAUUUGGAAUCGCGCAAGCGAAUUGUAGACCAGCUACGCGGCUGGGCGGAAACGAAUCAAGUGUCCUGGAAAGGAUCGCCUCAGAGGGUGACAGCCCCGUGGAUUCGCGAAUGCCCGGUAUGUAGUCGGACCGAGUCGGGUUGCUUGGGAAUGCAGCCCAAAGGGGGUGGUACAAGCCAUCCAAAGCUAAAUACUGGCAAGAGACCGAUAGCAAACAAGUACCGUGAGGGAAAGAUGAAAAGAACCCUGAAAGGGGGGUGAAAAGUGCGUGAAAUUGUUCCCAGGGAAGCAAAUUCGUGUUGGAUGCGUCUGCGAAUCUGCCGUGUUUCGACACGGCGGUGAACCAGCCGCUGGUCCGAGUCGUGUCUGGCACAGCGCACACGGACCCGGCAAUGGAUUUCGGUCCAUUGUGGGUAUCCCGCGCUGUCUGGGCACAAUCCGCGACUGACAAUCCGAAUCUGACCCGUCUUGAAACACGGACCAAGGAGUCCAACAACCAUGCGAGUAUUUGGGUGGCAAACCCAGAUGCGCAGCGAAAGCGACUGUUCCAAUUCCAAUGACGGAACGGGCUGCCGGCGGAUCAACAUCCACCGACUGACCAGGAGCAUGCGUGUUGGGACCCGAAAGGUGGUGAACUAUGCCUGACUAGGGCGAAGCCAGAGGAAACUCUGGUGGAGGCUCGCAGCCGUUCUGACGUGCAAAUCGAUGGUCAAAGUUGGGUAUAGGGGCGAAAGACUAAUCGAACCGCCUAGUAGCUGGUUCCCUC